GACGAACGCUGGCGGCGUGCUUAACACAUGCAAGUCGAACGGAAAGGCCCUGCUUUUGUGGGGUGCUCGAGUGGCGAACGGGUGAGUAACACGUGAGUAACCUGCCCUUGACUUUGGGAUAACUUCAGGAAACUGGGGCUAAUACCGGAUAGGAGCUCCUGCUGCAUGGUGGGGGUUGGAAAGUUUCGGCGGUUGGGGAUGGACUCGCGGCUUAUCAGCUUGUUGGUGGGGUAGUGGCUUACCAAGGCUUUGACGGGUAGCCGGCCUGAGAGGGUGACCGGCCACAUUGGGACUGAGAUACGGCCCAGACGCCUACGGGAGGCAACAGUGGGGAAUAUUGCACAAUGGGCGGAAGCCUGAUGCAGCAACGCCGCGUGCGGAAUGACGGCCUUCGGGUUGUAAACCGCUGUCGCCUGUGACGAAGCGUGAGUGACGGUAAUGGGUAAAGAAGCAGCGGCUAACUACGUG
rnacentral:rRNA from 1 species